UACGUAUGUGGCAAGCGUUGUCCGGAAUUAUUGGGCGUAAAGAGCUCGUAGGCGGUCUGUCGCGUCGGCUGUGAAAUCCCGAGGCUCAACCUCGGGUCUGCAGUCGAUACGGGCAAACUAGAGUAUUGCAGGGGAGACUGGAAUUCCUGGUGUAGCGGUGAAAUGCGCAGAUAUCAGGAGGAACACCGGUGGCGAAGGCGGGUCUCUGGGCAAUAACUGACGCUGAGGAGCGAAAGCGUGGGGAGCGAACAGG
rnacentral:rRNA from 1 species